rnacentral:tRNA from 1 species
GUUAUUGUAGCUUACACAAAGCACAGCACUGAAAAUGCUGAGAUGGUGAUUCACCCAUAUAACA